rnacentral:lncRNA from 1 species
AUGCACUAUACAAAGAAAGAAUUUUAAAAGCAGUAAGGGAAAAAGGUUACGUAACAUAUAAAGGCAGGCCUAUCAGAAUUACACCAGACUUCUCACCAGAGACUAUGAAAGCCAUAAGAUCCUGGACAGAUGUUAUACAGAUCCCAAGAGAACACAAAUGCCAACCCAGGCUACUAUACCCAGCAAAACUCUCAAUCACCAUAGAAAGAGAAACCAAGAUAUUCCAUGACACAACCAAAUUUACGCAAUUUCUUUCCACAAAUCCAACCCUACAAAGGAUAAUAGAUGGAAAACUCCAACACAAGGCAGGAAACUACCCACUAGAAAAAGCAAGAAAAUAAUCUUUUAACAAAACCCACACAAACAUAAUUCCACAUCUAACAACAAAAAUAACAGGACGUAACAAUCACUUUUCCUUAAUAUCUCUUAAUAUAAAAAUUAAUAUUAUCAACAUAACCUAGUGGAUUGAAAUUCAAAAAUAUGAGAAAUUAGAAAUUUGUUGUCUGUCAUCCAGUGGUCUCUCUAAUUUGGUAAUUGGAGAAAUAGGUCCAAUAUUGUACAAUCCAUAUACACUUUCUGCUUCUUUGUACAUGACAUUGUCUUGCUGUGUACCACAUAAUGGUCUUGAAAUCAUGCUUCUCCUAUCUCAGCCUAUUAGGAUUGUUUAUUUGAUGUUUUUACACUAUGCUAUGGUUUUCAAAAUAGCUUACAUAUUUCAAAAUUAUUUAUCCAGCCAAAAGAAACAUGGACAAUUAAUUUGGGAGAUGGCUUGUAAGAGAACAACAAAGAGUGAGACUGAAUCUUUUGUUUGAUAUUUAUAAUUAUUGUAUCAAUUUUGAAGAAGAGGACCUUAUAAGUUACUCUUUUUCUGAGAUGAAUGCUUUUCAAAAUCAUAACAGCCAAUGAACCCGAAUCUUACCCUCACCUAAUGUCUGUGCUACCCUCCAAGCAGAACCAUUGUUCAUUAAAACAGUUGAUGAACUACUUCAUGGAUAGACCAUCUUAAUACACACACCAUUUCUUCUUUUCUUUUCUUUUUUCUUUUUUGGUUUUUUGAGACAGGGUUUCUCUGUAUAGCCCUGGCUGUCCUGGAACUCACUUUGUAGACCAAGCUGUCCUCGAACUCAGAAAUCCGCGUGCCUCUGCCUCACGAGUGCUCGGAUUAAAGGUGUGCACCACCACCGCCCAGCUCACACACCAUUUCUUAAAUGAAUAUAACCUAUUCCCUGUGGGCUGAGAAUGAUGACAAUCACUCAAGUCAAAUAUCUUUGACCAUAGCAGGAAAUAUGUGUCCAAAUAAUUGUGCCUACAAUUCAUUCCUUGGCACAACAGAACUGUCAGCUCUUAGCUUAGCUACUAUAGAGGUGAAAUCCUUUGAUGAUGGGAGGGACAUUGAAGUACAGCCUUAUUACCAUGAAUUCCAGUGUCUAAAAAUUGUUCUUAUUUUCGGUUUGUACCACAGUAAGAGCCAAGAUUUUAAAGCUAUACU